rnacentral:rRNA from 1 species
CAGCAGUCGCCGCGGGAAUACGAAGGGUGCAAGCGUUACUCGGAAUUACUGGGCGUAAAGCGUGCGUAGGUGGUGGUUUAAGUCCGUUGUGAAAGCCCUGGGCUCAACCUGGGAAUUGCAGUGGAUACUGGGUCACUAGAGUGUGGUAGAGGAUAGUGGAAUUUCCGGUGUAGCAGUGAAAUGCGUAGAGAUCGGAAGGAACAUCUGUGGCGAAGGCGACUAUCUGGGCCAACACUGACACUGAGGCACGAAAGCGUGGGGAGCAAACAGGAUUAGAUACCCGGGUAGUCCCUGUCUCUUAUAA